rnacentral:lncRNA from 10 species
GCGUAUGCAGCGAGGCUUGGCGGAGCUAGGGGAAGUAAUGCGAGGCUCUGGUCGCCGAGCGAGGGCUCGCGGCGGCGAGGCGAAAGAAGAGAGAAGAUAGGAAGAAGGGAAGUAGGGCGAGGUGGAGGAAGAAGAGGAAAGCGAGCGUGGGUGUCUGGGGCAGAGCAAAGGACGAGGGAGUGGCUAAACCUCCGCCCGCCUUAGAACGAAAGCUGGCCGUUCCGUUUCACAAACUGCGAACCUGAAACUUCGGAUAUCCCUUUCUCGAUGACAGCCGAAACGCAAAGUGGCUUAGAGUACUUUUGAUUCUUGAAACCUUUUGUAUAUAAACAAGAUCUCAGCUCUAGGAGUUACAACCUACAUCCUAGGCCAAGCUACUUCAACUUCUCUGGUCCUCGGUUUCCUUGUCUACGAUAAUGAUAGUACCUGCCACAUUGGUUUUUUGUGUGUAUGCUAGGAUUGCAUGAGUUUACAUAUGUGAAGGACGUAGAUCAAUUCAUGGCACAUAAUAAGAACCUCACAGACGUCAGCAAUUUUUUGUUCGUUCGUUUGUUUUGAGACAGGGUCUUUCUCUGCCACCCAGGCUGCAGUGCAGUGGCACAAUCACAGCUCACUGCAACCUCUGCUUCCCGGGCUCAAGCGAUUCUCCAGCCUCAGCUUCCAGUGUAGCCGGGACUACAGGCGCAAGCCACCAAUGCCCGGCUAAUUUUUAUAUUUUUUAGUAGAGACAGGGUUUCGCCAUGUUGGCCAGGCUGGUCUCGUACUCCUAGUCUUAAGUGAUCCGCCCGCCUCGACCUCCCGAAGUGCUGGAAUUACAGGCAUGAGCCCUGCCAAAUGUUGGCAGUUAUUAAACUGUAUAGAUUUGUUCCUUAAAUAUUUUGACUAUUCCAUGAGAAAGGUUUGUCCAGCAUCUUGAUUUCUAUCUACAAAACAAAAACAAGACUAAAGGGUUCAGUAAUUUAACAUCUUGGUCAGAUGGCGUGAAGAAAUUAAAUUUUCUUACUCCUAUAGUCGCGAUGUAGUGUACCUCUUACCUUUUAAGUCUCGUUUCAGUGAAGUUGAAUGCAUAUUCUAGCAACUAAUAAAACAAUACCAAUGAACAUUUUUUAAUUGAUCGAAUCAGUUUCAAACUAUCAGCAUCAAACACCUCUAAUAAGUCAUUCAGAAACCUAUUGUGCAGAGUAAAAAAAAAAACCAACCAGGCCGGUCGCGGUGGCUCAUGCCUGUAAUCCCAGCACUUUGGGAGGCCGAGGCAGGUGGAUCACGAGGUCAGGAGAUGGAGACCAUCCUGGCUAACACGGUGAAACCCCGUCUCUAUUAAAAAAAUGCAAAAAAUUAGGCGGGGGUGGUGGCGGGCGCCUGUAGUCCCAGCUACUCGGGAGGCUGAGGCAGGAGAAUGGCGUGAACCCGGGAGGCGGAGCUUGCAGUGAGCCGAGAUCGCGCCACUGCACUCCAGCCUGGGCAACAGAGCGAGACUCCGUCUCAAAAUAAAUAAAUAAAUAAAUAAAUCCUUAACCAACUACUUGGUAUUACUACUUAGGGGAAAUUUGGUUGCAGACAUUAAUCACAUUAGUCUGGCACCAGUUUGUUUUUUAUUUCAUUAGCAUUCUUUAGGGUAUCAGCCCAUAAUACGCCUAAGAAUUCUUUAUGCUACAUAUUUGAUGUAUAGUCUUAAAAAAUAAGAGCAUUAUAAAUCUCUCUCAGAAUCUAAGAGUCAGGAAAGCUGGAUACCAAUGCUUUAUCUGACUACAACUUGUUAUGUAAUCCUGAGGAUCAUUCCACUCUCUACUGUGCCUUAGUUUCUUCUAUAAAUAUGGGUUUCUGAAUUAAAAUAUUGUAAAUGAUAGUACUUUGUUAAGUUACCAUUAUUACCACCUGUUUCCAGACCAUCUGUUAAAGGACAAGCUGUGGAUAUUCUUGUAACGGAUAAAGUAAUUCUGGCAGACUGUCUUCAGCGAGUCUCAAAACAUAGUUCAACUUCCAUUAAUGUCUUUUCCCUGGGUUCUUUAAGGGAAAUUCCACUGGACUGCUGUAACAUAGGCCCUAGUGUGUUUCUGUGCUUUGGCACCAUCCUGAGCAUCUCAGGCAUUCCUUUUUUCAUCCUUAUUUCUCUGUGUUACCCAAGGCUAAAUCUUCAGCUGUAUAAUUUCAAAGAUAAGUUCCACAAGAGCAAGGAUUUUGGUCUAUUUUGUUCUUCACUAUUAUCCUCAGCAUCUAGAAUAGUGCUUACUAUUCUCUAGCUGGCAGUCAAUGUUUGUUCAAUGAACUUGAACAUCCUGCUGUCUCUUGAUCUUUUCCUCAUACUUAAUUCCUUUCUGAAGUCUCCAUUUCUGUCAUUUAGUAGUGAGAAAAGAAAAUUAUUUUUAUCUGAGGAAUGUAGUUAUUUUAAACUGUCAGGCCCAGAGGGACAUUAAAAGGAGACAACAAUCACAUCCUACUUCUCCCUUGUGCUAUGUAUUCAUCUCUUGAAACUACUUGCUUAUGCCACAAGUAGCUAUAAAUUAACCUAAUGUCCCAUUGGACAGUAUAACCCACAUCCUAUAGCUUAACAAUGUAACCAAUCACUAAUAAAUGUUAUUUCCAUAAACCAAUAAGAAUUUCUGUACACAACGUGGUAUCAGCCCACUCCUUGUUCCCUUUUUUGCCUUUAAAGAUUCCCUUGUGGGCCAGGCGCAGUCGCUCACGCCUGUAAUCCCAGCAUUUUGGGAGGCCGAGGCAGGCGGAUCACGAGGUCAAGAGUUCAAGACCAGCCUGACCAACGUGGCGAAACCCUGUCUCUACUAAAAAUACAAAAAUUAGCCAGGUGUGGUGGCACGCACCUGUAAUCGCAGC